UACGGGGGGGGCAAGCGUUGUUCGGAAUUACUGGGCGUAAAGGGCUCGUAGGCGGCCAACUAAGUCAGACGUGAAAUCCCCGGGCUCAACCCGGGAACUGCGUCCGAUACUGGAAGGCUUGAAUCCGGGAGAGGGAUGCGGAAUUCCAGGUGUAGCGGUGAAAUGCGUAGAUAUCUGGAGGAACACCGGUGGCGAAGGCGGCAUCCUGGACCGGCAUUGACGCUGAGGCGCGAAAGCCAGGGGAGCAAACGGG
rnacentral:rRNA from 1 species